AGUGGGAUUUCUGGGUCAUAUGGUUAGGUACACACUUAACUUCCCAAGAAACUGCCAAAAUGUUUUCAAAAGUGGCUAUACCAUCUUACAUUCCCACUAGAAAU
rnacentral:pre_miRNA from 1 species